rnacentral:sRNA from 1 species
CACCACAGAACAAACGCAGAUCUGUGUUCAGCGAUCCCGUUCAUGGAGGGUGCAGUUUCGCAAGAAGUUGUUAUUUCUCUGUGUUUCGGUUGAACGCUGGGCAGUUCGACGAUUUAAGGAGCCAUCCAGCUGGUGGAUGGUUUUUGCGGUUCCUGUCGACAGAUCUCAGAUUAAAGGUUGGCGCUGGGUUGUUCACUCGGGUCUUGAGCUCCCUUGUUUUCGAACUUGGUGAGCUCGGCUGGAGUUCCUGGUUGCUGACGGCGUCAUAUUCCUACUCCCUUUACCGAAUUGACCGUCGGUCACUGAGGUUAGGGAAUAACCAUGACCUGCCAACAUUC